GAUGAACGCUAGCUACAGGCUUAACACAUGCAAGUCGAGGGGCAGCAUGACCUAGCAAUAGGUUGAUGGCGACCGGCGCACGGGUGAGUAACACGUAUCCAACCUGCCGAUUAUUCCGGGAUAGCCUUUCGAAAGAAAGAUUAAUACUGGAUAGCAUAACGAGAAGGCAUCUUCUUGUUAUUAAAGAAUUUCGAUAAUCGAUGGGGAUGCGUUCCAUUAGUUUGUUGGCUGGGUAACGGCCCACCAAGACAUCGAUGGAUAGGGGUUCUGAGAGGAAGGUCCCCCACAUUGGAACUGAGACACGGUCCAAACUCCUACGGGAGGCAGCAGUGAGGAAUAUUGGUCAAUGGACGAGAGUCUGAACCAGCCAAGUAGCGUGAAGGAUGACUGCCCUAUGGGUUGUAAACUUCUUUUAGAUGGGAAUAAAGUGGGCCACGUGUGGCUUUUUGUAUGUACCAUACGAAUAAGGAUCGGCUAACUCCGUG
rnacentral:rRNA from 1 species